rnacentral:rRNA from 1 species
GGACUACUAGGGUAUCUAAUCCGUUUUGCUCCCCACGCUUUCAUGCCUCAAUGUCAGUAACAGAAUAGUUAACUGCCUUCGCCAUAUCGGUGUUCUUUCAUAUAUCUACGCAUUUUACCGCUCCACAUAAAGUUCCGUUAACCUCUCCUGUACUCAAGUCUGACAGUAUUACCAACUUCCACGAGGUUGGGCCUCGAUUUCCCACUAGUAACUUAUCAAACCAUCUACGCAUCCUUUACGCCCAAUAAUUCCGGAUAACGUUCGUCACCUAUGUCUUACCGCGGCGGCUGGCAC